rnacentral:rRNA from 1 species
GACAUGAAGUUAGGUCAGCAAACCCGCUGAAUUUAAGCAUAUAAGUAAGCGGAGGAAAAGAAACUAAAUAGGAUUCCCUCAGUAAUGGCGAAUGAACAGGGAUGAGCUCAGUAUGGAAAUUGGGGCCUGUGGCCUUGAAUUGUAGUCUGGAGAUGUACCACCAACUGGGGCGCAGAUGUAAGCCUCUUGGAAAAGAGCAUCAAUGAGGGUGAGAGUCCCGCUUGGCAUCUGCAGUCCCCAGUGCACGGUGUACCUUCUAAGAGUCACGUUCCUCGGGAUUGGAGCGCAAAUCGGGUGGUAAGUUUCAUCUAAAGCUAAAUAUAGUUUCGAGACCGAUAGCAAACAAGUACCAUGAGGGAAAGGUGAAAAGGACUUUGAAAAGAGAGUUAAAAGUGCCUGAAAUUGCUGAAAGGGAAGCGAAUGGAACCAGCGUAACUUGGCGAGAUUGCUGCGUGUCAAUGUGAUUGCUUGCUGCUUCAACGUAAGUGUUGUAGUAAGUCUUGAACAGGACAUGCGCGGUGCUUCUUGCCUUGUGUGUCACCGUCAGUUCGCAACUGGGGAAAACUUCAGGGACAUGGUAGCCUGUCUCCGGGUGGGUGAACGUGUUUGCUGGAACUCAUUUGCGGAUUGCUUGGUGACUAAAUGGUUCCMUCUGACCCGUCUURA